GAGUGAUACAGCACCCCUAAGGUGAUGCAUCGCUGUGACUGAAUAACGUGGCACGUGAAGAAGUUCCUACACAAGGCAUGAGGACUGUCCAACAUCCCAUCCCACAAUCGCAAAGAAAGAGUGCCAGAAGAAAUCCUGAGAGGGGGCAAAAGAAAGACGAUAUGUGAUAGAGUCUCUUGAAAAUCAGCUAAGGAGAAUGGAAAUUUGCAAAGAAAACAAA